rnacentral:rRNA from 1 species
ACGAACGCUGGCGGUAUGCUUAACACAUGCAAGUCGAACGAGAAAGCUUUCUUCGGAAAGUGAUUAGAGUGGCGCACGGGUGAGUAACACGUAGAUAACCUGCCUUUUAGUCUGGGAUAACCAUCUGAAAAGGUGGCUAAUACCGGAUAAUAUCGGUUACCAUAAGGUGGCCGAUUGAAAGAUUUAUCGCUAUUAGAUGGGUCUGCGCACCAUUAGCUAGUUGGUAGGGUAAAGGCCUACCAAGGCAGCGAUGGUUAGCGGGUCUGAGAGGAUGAUCCGUCACACUGGAACUGAGACACGGUCCAGACUCCUACGGGAGGCAGCAGUGGGAAUUUUGUCCAAUGGGGGAAACCCUGAGACAGCAAUACCGCGUGAGUGAAGAAGGCCUUUGGGUCGUAAAGCUCUUUUCUAAAGGAAGAUAAUGACGGUACUUUAGGAAUAAGCACCGGCUAACUCCGUGCCAGCCGCCGCGGUAAUU